CGGUUGAUUUUGGAUGGUAGACU
rnacentral:miRNA from 1 species